AAUUUUUGUUUAAAAAUAUUAAGCAAAAAGAAUAUAUAAAAUAUUUAUACAUUUAGUUAUGUACUAAUUGCUUACAAACUCGAAAUUGCUCCAAUUGCGUUCACAACCGGAAGAAGAACAACAAAGGCCGAGGAUUCGCUUUGCAAACUUUGUAAACUCAAUAGCACAACCGCCAAAAGCAUUCCACCAAUCAACUACAUUAGAUGUAAAAAAUUAAAAAAAUCAAAUAUAGUCUUAAUUAUUAAACUUAAAAGAAAAAUUUAUCGUUUCUCCCUCUCGUUUCUCCCUCUCGAUUCUCGAAUUGUCGUCGAAGGAAAAGGAACUGUCGAAGAAGGAAAAAGAUAACUGAAGUACAAAUUUGUUGAAGGAACUGUCGAGCAGCUCGAACUGUCGUCGAAACUCGAAGGAAAUGGGUUUGUCGUCGAACUGUCGAACAGACAAUAAGAAGGAAAAGGUUCGAUUUGCUGCAGUCCCUCCUCUUUGGAAGUUCUCCCUCUCGUAUCACUGUCGAUUGUCGAAGUUCUCCCUCUCGUUUCUGAUUUCUCCCUCUCGAACUAUCGAAGAAUGAAAAGUUCGAAUGAAAAGAAACUGUCAAUCGAUUGUCGAAGAAGGAAAAAAACGAGCAGAUCGAUUUAGGUUUUUGAAUUGGGUCGGGUCAAACCCGCUUUGGAAAGUCGCCCGCUUUGCUAGAUAGUCGUCCAAGUCGUCUGCUGAGCGUCCAAGUCGUCUAAGGCGAGGCCUGAGCGGUCGACUACGUGCUCUUCAACCAAGUCGGUAGGACGCCUUGUUUUUUCUGGUCGACUCGACGCCUAGUCGUCGCCUAGGCGACGACUAGUCGACGACUUGACAACAAUGGUUGUGGCAUUAAAUGCUUCUGAACUUUCUGUGCUGCGAUGGAGACAUUUCUGCACAUCUCUGAAUUCUGCAUUCUGCAUUCUGGCUCACUGACACUGCAGGCUGCUUUCUCACCUACCACCUGAAAAGGUGUUUUGUCCCUCUUAUCCAUAGUACUAUCCUUGGCUUCUUAAAUACGCUUCUUUGUUGCAUACUAAGGAUAUUUCAUAUAUUCUGGGACUGAUGAGCACUGCAGCAUCUGAGAUCCAUUCCUCGUAUGUUGAAUUAACAACUCAUGAGGCUUGACGUUUUCUGACAUGAGACAGAUGAUGCUCUACGAUUGGAUCGUGAUGUUCUACGGUUAAGAUCGUAGUGGCUUUGACUUGCAUACUACGAUAUUAUCAAUCGAGAACACUACGAUUUCUCUUAAACUUUCAUGCACUACGAUCUUCUCUUGCUCGUGUUGUUGACUCUACGUUCCCGAGAGCACACUACGAUCGUUGACUUAUAAACUUCACGUUUCCUUCAGCACACUACGAUCGUGGAGUUAGCUUGGUGAACGUUGGGACCACUCUACGAUUUCCGAAGAGUCCCCUUUCAAGGCAGGCACACUACGAUCUUCAGGCUCUACGUUUUCUGCCUUGACUUCUGCAAUGUUGAUCAGAUUGAUGCACUACGAUUUCUUCAAGACUAAUCUAUUACAUCUCAAGAUCAACCUAACAGUUUUGAUCUUUCUAUCUAUACAUUCUAGAACAGAAUGAUACACGUUGAAAGCUUAGAUCAACCUAACAAUUUUGAUCUAUCACCAAGUCCUUGUACAUAUAUUCUUUAAAGGACCUUACAAAUAAUCAUAAACACAUGCAUUAAAACAUCAAAUCAUAAUAUGCAUUCUCCCAACACAUAUUAUUAAGUGCAAAUGAUUAGUAAACUAUUUAGUAGUACUAACAGUCAUGCAUAAAUAUUGGAGCAAAGAAUAUAAUAUAAUUAAUAGAAAUAUAGCAUAGUAGUACUAAUUUAACUAUAAUUAAUAAAUUCAGAAUCAUGAUUUUCCAUUUUGAUUAAUUUCUUUCUUGAUCAGUGAAAAUGAAUGAUAUGGGAAACAAACAAAAAAGUAACAGACCAGUCGGCAGUAAAAAAAAAAAAAAAAAAAGCAACAGAGCACAUAUAGGAGCAACAGGGAAAACUUUUCGUUAGUCUCGAGAAACAGAGCAGUCGGCACUCGGCACAACAGAGAAGGUCAGAAGAAAGGGGAAAGAAAAAAGAAGGAAUACCUACCGAAACUAAGCGACGGGAGUCGCGAGCUUAGCGCCUUAGCCGGGAAUGGAGCACGGGAGGGAGGGAGUCGAAGGCUGCGAGGCUGAAGCUGCGACUGAAAAUCGAGCGAUGAUCGAAGUUCAUGGGUUACGCUGACAAAGAUGUCGAGUGACGAUGACGAAGAUGGUGUCUAGUGACGAAGAAGGUCUUCGAUGUCGAGUGACGAUGAUCGAAGUUCAGCGUAAGGGCUUUCUCCUUUUCUCCUCUUUUUUUCGAUGGGUCAUGGGUUACGCUCGCCUUAGCAGCUCUCUCCCAAGUCGUCGCUCUCCUUCUCUUCUCCCAAGCGCCUGGACGCGCAAGUGGAAAACUCACUUGUGCACACCCGCAUAAUAGACUAGAAGAAAAAAAAUUCUCUAGUUUAUAAUUUAUUUCUUAUGUAGAAAUUACUUGUAAAGACCCGGCCCAGCUCGAACCCAGGGUCAAGCCUACUGUCUCAAAAGUACGAUUUGGUCACUUCAGCCACCACAGGUCCACCUAAAUGGUCAUGACUUAACAGGAAGUGGUGGAGGCUUAUGGUGCAGUGCACUACACUGCAAUUUUAUUUAGCAAGUUGGGUUAAAUAGACUGCUGGGUGGUGCACACUGCACAGACACAUCUUUUUUACCUAUACCUAAUUGUACCAGGGCUUUGCAUGCACUUCCCUUUACGUGUUCCUUUGUUCAAAUUCUGUUACAGUGUAGGGUGCGAAUAUAAUCUUAAGCAUAGAACACAACUUGUUCAACUCCUGCAGAUUUUUCAGUUUAUAACUUACUGUUCUCAAAAGAAAAUCUCACCUGUUAU
rnacentral:lncRNA from 1 species